AUUACCAAUAUCAAUGGAUCUCUAGGCUCUAAUUACGAUGAAAAACGCAGCAAAACGCGAAAUCAGAUAUGAUACGCGAAUUACUAUGAAUCAUCGAGUUUUUGAACGCAAACGGCACUGAAGGGC
rnacentral:rRNA from 1 species